GACGAACGCUGGCGGCGUGCCUAAUACAUGCAAGUAGGACGCAGUUGCGAACGGGUGAGUAACGCGUAGGUAACUGACUAUUAGCGGGGGAUAACUAUUGGAAACGAUAGCUAAUACCGCAUACUAGUAGAUGGACCUGCGUUGUAUUGGCUAGUAGGUAGGGUAAUGGACUACCUAGGCGACGAUACAUAGCCGGCCUGAGAGGGUGAUCGGCCAAACUGGUACUGAGACAGGGCCCAGAAUCCUACGGUAGGCAGCAGUAGAGAAUCUUAGGCAAUGGGGGGAACCCUGACCGAGCAACGCGGCGUAAGUGAGGAAGGUUUUCGGAUCGGAAAGCUCUUUUGUUAAGGAAGCGGUACUUAACCAGAAAGGGACGGCUAACUACGUGCCAGCAGCCGCGGUAAUAC
rnacentral:rRNA from 1 species